rnacentral:rRNA from 1 species
CCUACGGGAGGCAGCAGUGGGGAAUAUUGCACAAUGGGCGAAAGCCUGAUGCAGCAACGCCGCGUGAAGGAAGAAGGGUUUCGGCUCGUAAACUUCUAUCAACAGGGACGAAAGAAAUGACGGUACCUGGAUAAGAAGCCCCGGCUAACUACCUGCCAGCAGCCGCGGGAAUACGUAGGGGGCAAGCGUUAUCCGGAAUUACUGGAGGUAAAGGGUUAGUAUGCGGCAUGGUAAGCCAGAUGUGAAAGCCUUGGGCUUAACCCGAGGAGUGCAUUUGGAACUAUCAAGCUAGAGUACAGGAGAGGAAAGCGGAAUUCCUAGUGCAGCGGUGAAAUGCGUAGAUAUUAGGAAGAACACCAGUGGCGAAGGCGGCUUUCUGGACUGAAACUGACGCUGAGGCACGAAAGCGUGGGGAGCGAACAGGAUUAGAUACCCUGGUAGUC